rnacentral:tRNA from 1 species
AGUUUAUGAACUUGUAUAAGUAUAUAUUUUGAAAAUAUAAAAAAGGGAUAUAUUUCCCUAUAGACUU